rnacentral:tRNA from 1 species
GGAGGGAUGUCCGAGUGGUUGAAGGUGCCGGUCUCGAAAAUCGGUGGGGCCUGUAAAGGCUCUCGUGGGUUCGAAUCCCACUCCCUCCG